GCCCGCAUGGCGGAACUGGUAGACGCGGACGACUCAAAAUCGUCAGCCGAAAGGCGUGGGGGUUCGAUUCCCUCUGCGGGCACCA
rnacentral:tRNA from 1 species